AACGCACCUUGCGCCCUUUGGUAUUCCGAUGGGCAUGCCUGUUCGAGUGUCUUGAAUUCAUCGCCUCCUCCGGUUUUGCGACCGGCUGGCGGCGGACUUGGGGGUCUGCCGCGGCGACGCGGCUCCCCUCGAAUGCAUCGGUGGGGUCUCCGAGCACCCACGGGCGUUGUAUUGUCCUCGUCCGACCGGGCCUCGCGUCCCCCGCCUCGACUGCCGUCCGAGCGGCGGUCAAGCACACUUUGAAAUCUGACCUCGAAUCAGGUAGGACUACCCGCUGAACUUAA
rnacentral:misc_RNA from 1 species